GCAUCCCCGUAAGCUGGGGCUUGGCAAGCACUCUGCCUCUGAUCUGGAAUCUGGUAAUGCUCCAGCUGCAUCCCUGGCCCCAGCUGGGGUGGGUGGCUCUGCCUCAGCCCCAUCGCUGCGUGGUGCCCCUGGGAGGGGGCACAACUCCAGCACCCCACCAUCCCUCCCUGCUCAGGGAGAAGGGGGACAAAGCAGCACGACAGCAAGGCAAGGAUUGAGGACCCCAGAAUCAGCCCAUCUCCAUCGUAAAGCCUUCACCCCUCCCUCCUCUACAUCACUCAAGUAGGCUCCUGCAGGAGGUGACAUCCCGAGGAUUCCCACAUCUGGAGACACCUCUGUGCAUCGUGCCCUGCUGAAGGGUUCUGGGGGAUCCCAGCCGUGAGCAGUGUGAGCACCCACACCUGGCAGGGAUGGCAGCGCACGCUGUGAGCCCAUUUCCCCAGGGAGGGACACCUUCCUGCACAUGAAACUGCCAGAGCCAACAGGUAUAAAAAGAGACAACUUGAGAUUAAAAUCUGCCAUCAGCAGGGGAAGUCUCCCCGGGAGAAAAGAAGCUCUGGAUGGGCAGGAAGAGCCACAGGACACGUGGAUGUGUUGGCAGCAGGUGCAGCAGAGGCAGAGGUGCCUGUGGGGGACAGGACUGGCUCUGGUGGGCAUGGCAGGGUGGGUGCAGGGCAGCAGCGAGCUGGGGCACGGCCACUUGGGUCUCAGCCAUUUGGAGGGGUCUCUGUGCCAGCAGCUCCUUUAGCCUCGCAGGCUGGUCAGGGGGAGGCUCCAUCACUCCACACUGCUCCGUGAGCAGCACUCAGGAACCCUCUGGAGCCAGAUGGCCCCGGAGGCACAAACCCAACACCUGGUGGCUCAUAUUUGCGAGAUUUACCC